rnacentral:rRNA from 1 species
UACGUAGGGUGCAAGCGUUAAUCGGAAUUACUGGGCGUAAAGCGUGCGUAGACGGUUAUUUAAGUCGGGUGUGAAAGCCCCGGGCUCAACCUGGGAAUUGCAUUCGAGACUGAAUAGCUAGGGUACGGUAGAGGGAAGCGGAAUUUCCGGUGUAGCGGUGAAAUGCGUAGAUAUCGGAAGGAACAUCAGUGGCGAAGGCGGCUACCUGGACAAUUGCUGACGCUCAGGCACGAAAGCGUGGGGAGCAAAAGGG